ACUAUUGACGGAGAGUGACGGAGUUAAUUCUGCUAUGAUAUCACACUUAAGUUGCGAUUUGAAACUGCCACGGAGUGAUGCCAGGGUCGCGGCAAAGCUGUCAUCCACGUAGAGCCGGUCCACAGCGAUGACAGCGCAGGAGCCCUUCUGGAUGAAGCUGCCUCGGAUGGGGAAGAGGACCCUACGUCGUUCCAGGAUCUCUUUUGGGAACUGGGUGAUAACUACAGCCUGACAACAGAGGACGGCAACGUCAUCAGCGAGGAACGGGUGAGCCGCAUUGAGGAGCACGAUGUCUGAGCAGCAUUAAGGAGAGUGAGCACCCAGAAAGCGACGGACCAUCUGACCCUUGCAGGUCACCUCUCAUUGUUGGAACACGCCAAUGAUGAUGAUGUAGAAGAAGAUGACGACGAAGCUGAGGCAGGAACACAAAUACCAUGACAAAGGACUCAACACCAAUACGUUAGCAGCUUCAUCACCACAGGAGCUCAUCUGUAGGAGGUUCAGCCUUAAUGGAGACCCUCCCAUUGGUCUUUUCUCCCAGGAACACUUUAGCUUAAUUCCUUCAUUCAUACUUCACUUCCUGUUUAUUCUUUACCUUCCACUCACCUGCAGAAACAGUCA